AUUGAACGCUGGCGGCAGGCCUAACACAUGCAAGUCGAACGAGUGGCGGACGGGUGAGUAAUGUCUGGGAAACUGCCCGAGGGAGGGGGAUAACUACUGGAAACGGUAGCUAAUACCGCAUACCAUCGGAUGUGCCCAGAUGGGAUUAGCUAGUAGGUGGGUUAACGGCUCACCUAGGCGACGAACCCUAGCUGGUCUGAGAGGAUGACCAGCCACACUGGAACUGUGACCCGGUCCCGCCUCCUACGGGAGGCAGCCGUGGGGAAUAUUGGACAAUGGGCGCAAGCCUGAUGCAGCAAUGCCGCGUGUAUAAAGAAGGCCUUCGGGUUUUAAAGUCCUUUCAGCGAGGAGGCGUUACUCACAGAAGAAGCACCGGCUAACUCCGUGCCAGCAGCCGCGGUAAUAC
rnacentral:rRNA from 1 species